GAGUAGAUUAAGUGGACAGAGGAUCCGUGGGCUCCGUGGGGACAGCCGGUGGUUGGGGAUGGCGGAUGUGAAGUUGGGUGCCUUUGCGGUCACGCGUGGGAGAUCCCUGGAUCAGGCGUUAAAGUUAAGCAUUUUUGUCAUCUAUCAAUAAUUUUACCAAGUCGUGAUCAUAUCCCCUGUGGAGUAAGAAGAACCUGCUUCUGCCUCUAAGUUAGGUUCAGGAUAGACAGAAGACAGAGCAUAUUCCAUUGUUGCUAGCCCUUUCUUAAUAACAGAAGAAAAUGACCAAAGCCGAGGUGAGUUUUGUUUUACCUAUUUAAUCCUGUGUUUCUCAACACAUAUGUCGAAAAAGACUGUCUGGUUAAGGGAGACAGUAUAUGUUGAUAGAAAUCAGUAUCUGUCAAAAAAUAAGUUUGAGUUAUAAACAUGCAAUCUGGUCAAAUUAGGAAGCGAGGUAGGUAGGACAUGGUAUUUGUGCAGCAUUCUUAAUGUUGAAACAGCAGAGUGACUGUGUGUAAGACCCCAUAGGUUGCCUUUGCUUUGAACUGUAUCUUCUGUUGGCAGCUGUAAUAACAAGAAAAACAUGAAGCGUGUCAUGAUAGCAAUGAGAAGAAGCCAAGGCAGUUUUUCAGAGGAAGUAAACAUGUUGUUGCUCUUAGAUCUUAAGAAACAUAUUUUUCAGGAAGGUUUUGUGGUAGAUAGUGUCUUCCAAAUCGCCCUUGUAAUAAAGGUAAAGGAUGUUUUAUUUUGCUUUAUCUUAUGAUUCCUUGGGUCAGCUAAGAAGAUAAUGCCAAAAGAAAACUGGAUUGGACAAAAUUCUUCAAACACAGUAUGCCUUGAAAAUAGAGCCUUCUGGUUGUCUGACUUUAACUGGAAAUAAAGCCUGGAUUAUCCAGUAGAAUGAGUGGGCUGCUUGAGCUUUAAAUGGUCUCCCAUGAAGAAGCAUUCUCUCAACGAGAUAUUUGUUAGUGAAUUGUCAGAAGCUGGCUGAAAGUUCCAUUUUUUGGUAAUAGUUUGGAACACAGGCACUGACAGUGCUUCUUUUUUAGCUUCUUAACCUCAGGUUCAAAAAUGAGGUAGUGCCAAUGAUUCUAGUUUUGUUUUCAUAAUUCUUUUUAAUGAAUUU